UCCGUAGGGUGCGAGCGUUAAUCGGAAUUACUGGGCGUAAAGCGUACGUAGGCGGACCGUUAAGUCGGGGGUGAAAUCCCAGGGCUCAACCCUGGAACUGCCUUCGAUACUGGCGGUCUGGAGUCCGGGAGAGGUGAGUGGAACUCCUAGUGUAGAGGUGAAAUUCGUAGAUAUUAGGAAGAACACCAGUGGCGAAGGCGGCUCACUGGCCCGGUACUGACGCUGAGGUACGAAAGCGUGGGGAGCAAACAGG
rnacentral:rRNA from 1 species